rnacentral:other from 2 species
GUAAUCCUGCGGUGUGCGUCACGCUUUGGUUAUAAACCCACAGAUUUAUGCCGGGAGCGUCCGUCGAGCAAGCCUAUGCCGCCUUCUUUGUUUGGCACGCAGAAGCACUUGCAGCGCACCCACCUGCCGAGGAGGCGGGCGUUAUAACGAGGGCGAACGGCACCCUGGGAUUAUU